rfam:Bacillus hemicellulosilyticus JCM 9152 DNA, contig:contig_49.
CCGUGCUAGGUGGGGAGGUAGCGGUGCCUUGUAACUCGCAAUCCGCUAUAGCGGGGCUGAAUCCCUUCUAGAGGUUUUGGUGCUGCGAGGUCUGCCCUAAGUAAGUGGUGUUGACGCUUGGGUUCCACGCAACGGAAACCCAUGAACCCUGUCAGGUCCGGAAGGAAGCAGCAGUAAGUGGAUCCUUCCGUGUGCCGUGGAGUCGCCUGGGCCGAGCUAACUGCUUAGGUAACGCUCGUGGUACCUUAAUCGAAGGAAGGUGCGCGG